UGCUUGUACCGACACCGACCCUCCGCAU
rnacentral:sRNA from 1 species